UGUUAGAUCAAGUGGCUCAAUCCAUGCAGAUACUGGUCUCCUGGAAGAUAGAAUUUAGUGUAAAUUUAUAAAUUUGUAAUGAGUCCAGAAGUGGUAGUAAGGAUGUCAGGGAGAUAUCCAUCAUGGUGAGGAGUUAAUAUCUGUAUCUGCAUAACAUUCUAAUUGAUGGCUCUGUCUGAUGUUUGAAAAGCGUUAAAUUGCUGAUGUACAGGUGAUGGAAUGCCUAUUGUCAGGCUAGAAAUGAAAACUCUUCCUCAUCACUGCAGUUGGUUUGUAAAUGAUUUGUAGAGAAAUGACUUUGAAUGUUUGUAUUAGAGGUCAGAAUUAGUGAUCUCACUUUUCUAUAGUAACUUCUGUGUGCCAAAAUCUUCCUUGAGCAUAAACCACAGUCUACAAUUCA
rnacentral:lncRNA from 1 species